rnacentral:rRNA from 1 species
AGUGAACGCUGGCGGUAGGCCUAACACAUGCAAGUCGAACGGCAGCACAGGAGAGCCUGCUCUCUGGGUGGCGAGUGGCGGACGGGUGAGGAAUACAUCGGAAUCUACUCUGUCGUGGGGGAUAACGUAGGGAAACUUACGCUAAUACCGCAUACGACCUACGGGUGAAAGCAGGGGACCUUCGGGCCUUGCGCGAUUGAAUGAGCCGAUGUAGGAUUAGCUAGUUGGCGGGGUAAAGGCCCACCAAGGCGACGAUCCGUAGCUGGUCUGAGAGGAUGAUCAGCCACACAGGAACUGAGACACGGGCCAGACUCCUACGGGAGGCAGCAGUGGGGAAUAUUGGACAAUGGGCGCAAGCCUGAUCCAGCCAUACCGCGUGGGUGAAGAAGGCCUUCGGGUUGUAAAGCCCUUUUGUUGGGAAAGAAAUCCAGCUGGCUAAUACCCGGUUGGGAUGACGGUACCCAAAGAAUAAGCACCGGCUAACUUCGUGCCAGCAGCCGCCGUAA